UUAGUAGGACAGCCUUAGGGGGAGAUGGUAGGGAAAACACCAUUUAUGCGGGGCUUUGUACAUUUCCACCACGCUGCUUACUCUCUUUUGCCCCCUGGUGGAAUUCUGCUGCCUCUGCCUCGUCCUAGCUGGGCCACUUGGCUUGAUUUUCUUAUUCUUAAAGUGGCAGUAGGAACUAGACUUCAUAGGGUUGCUGUGAAGAUUAAAUAAGAGGAUGUGUGUGAAUGGGCUUUGUAAAGCCAGAAAACAUAGGCGUUUGUGUUGUGGAGAAAAGCAGUGGGGAGACUGGAGGCCUCACUUGGCUGUGAUUCUGUCGAAUCAGGCUGGGGACCCAGAGCUGUAUCAGCGUGCGAUUGUUGCCAUCGGGGACACCCUGGCUGGGAAGGGGCUUGUGGAGGCAGCCCACUUCUGCUACCUCAUGGCUCACGUGCCCUUUGGCCACUACCCCGUGAAGACAGACCAUCUGGUCUUGCUGGGCAGCAGCCACAGUCAAGAGUUUUUGAAAUUUGCAACAACUGAGGCAAUCCAGAGGACGGAAAUCUUCGAGUACUGUCAGAUGCUGGGCCGCCCCAAAUCCUUCAUCCCUUCUUUCCAGGUGUAUAAGCUCCUUUAUGCUUCCCGUCUGGCGGAUUACGGCCUCGUGUCCCAGGCCUUGCAUUACUGCGAAGCCAUUGGUGCGGCUGUCUUGAGCCAGGGAGAGAGCAGUCAUCCUGUGCUAUUAGUGGAACUCAUCAAGCUAGCAGAGAAACUGAAGCUGUCAGAUCCUCUGGUUUUAGAAAGACGCAGUGGAGACAGGGACCUGGAGCCAGAUUGGCUAGUGCAACUUCGGAGGCAGCUGGAGCAAAAGGUAGCAGGAGACAUUGGGGAUCCUCAUCCUACUCGCUCAGAUAUUUCGGGAGCCAGAGGAACAACAACAGAAAACACUUUCUACCAGGACUUUUCUGGAUGUCAAGGCUACUCUGAAGCCCCUGGGUACCGCUCAGCUCUGUGGCUGACACCUGAGCAGACCUGCCUGCUCCAGCCCAGCCCACAGCAGCCCUUCCCCCUCCAGCCUGGCUCCUACCCAGCAGGAGGGGGUGCAGGGCAGACAGGGACACCGAGGCCUUUUUACUCAGUUCCUGAGACCCACCUACCAGGGACUGGCAGCAGUGUGACAGUGACAGAGGCCCCUGGAGGAACAGUCUGGGAGGAAACGCUGCAGACACACCUGGGCCCUGGAGAGAACACAGUGUCUCAAGAAACUUCCCAGCCUCCUGAUGGCCAAGAGGUCAUUUCCAAACCACAGACACCACUGGCUGCUAGAGCACGAAGUAUUUCUGAGAGUUCCACCAAUUCAGCCAAGGAGGAUGAGAAGGAGUCCUUUGACGAGGCUGAUAAAAACUCUUCCCGAAAUACUGCCCGGAGAGGCAAGCUCGGAGAUGGGAAGGAGCACACAAAGAGCUCAGGUUUUGGCUGGUUCAGCUGGUUUCGAUCGAAGCCCACCAAGAACACAUCCCCCUCUGGAGACGAGGACUCCUCAGACAGCCCUGACUCUGAGGUGGGGGUGAAGGCCGAGGAUCCGCAUCCAGCGGGGGAGCAGCUGCGGGUGCUGGGGUUGGAGGCUUGUCUGGACCUGAGAGUGUUUCCUUUGAGCUCUGCUCCAACCCUGGUGUUCUUCUUCCUCCACCUGCCUUAAAAGGGGCUGUUCCUCUUUACAACCCAUCUCAGGUGCCUCAGCUGCCCAUGGCCACUAGCCUGAAUCGGCCAAAUCGCCUAGCUCAGCGUCGCUAUCCCACCCAGCCAUGCUGAGAAUAAACACACAUCCCAGGCUC
rnacentral:sRNA from 1 species